rnacentral:lncRNA from 1 species
UCACAACCAUCUGUAAUGAGAUCUGACAGUCUCUUCUGGUGUGUCUGUAGACAGCUACAGUGUAUUUACAUAUAACAAUAAAUAAAUCUUUUUAAGAAGGGGGUUGGGAUAUGGAGUGUAAAAAAUAAAUUAACUUAAAACAAAAAAGAAAGAUCAAUAAGUUGUCUUCAUCAAAAUAAAGAUGUUUGCCAUUCAAAGGCACUGUUAGAAAAACAAAACAGUAAGUGAAGAGAGUGGGGAGAAGAAAAUUACAAAAAACAUGUGCUGUUUGACUCUAUCAUCUGUAUUUCUAUCUAUCUAUAUAUCUAUCUAUCUACUUACCUUAAUUUUAUGAAAGUACUUGUCAUCUAAUUUAUAUGCUAUAAAGGUUAUUUAUAUUUCCUAGAUAAAAGUUCUUUUUUGAGUAGGUGGACAGAUCCGUAGGUGAGUGGGUGUGUGGAUGGGUGGAUAGAUAGAUAGAUAUUGUGAUCACCAUGGAAAUAAAAACUAAAACCACAAAGAGAACACAUUACAUCCACUAAAAUUGCCAAAAUUAGAAAGACUGACAAAAACUAGUGUGGCGAGGAUAUAAAGCUAGAACUCUCGCUUAGAGUUGUACUUCUAUUUAGAGGAAAAGAAAAUAAAAGAGCUUGAAGCUCCUACAGAGUUAGAUAUAUGCCUGCCAUAUAGUUGUUCUCCUAGGAACUUAAUGAGGAGAAAUGAUAGCAUAUGUCCUCAUAGAAAUAAACUUUAGAUGAGUGGUCAUCACAGGCUUAUUUACUUACUUGUUUCUUUUUUUUAUUUGUUCUGUUUUUUUGAGGCAGAGUUUUCCUUUAUAGCCAUGGCUAUCCUGGAACUCAGUCUAGACCAGGCUGCUGUCCUUGAAGUCACGGAGAUCUGCCUGCCUCUGCCUCCCAAGUGCUAAGCCAUGGUGCCAGGCCCCAUCACAGGCUUGUUUAUAAUAGCCAAAAGAUAGAAACCACCCAAAUAACCAUCAACAGAAAGUGGCUAAACAUAUUGCAGAAUAACCAAACAGUGGAAUAGGCUACUCUGUAAAACUGAAUGAUUUACUGAUGCAACCAAGGAGAGGAAUCUCAAAAUAAUUAUGCUGACUGAAAGAAACUAGACC